AAGGACGACGUGUGCGGCGAGGCGCGGAGGGAGAAGUGAGGUUGGGGCGCACCAGAUCGCAAGAAAGAGGGAGAGAAGCUGGGCGAAUUCGGAGAAGGAGGGUCGGAAACACAACGGGGGAAGGCCGGGGAGCGAGGAUUAAGCAGAGGAAAGCCGAGGAGCGAGGAAGGCUUGACCGGGGCUCGAACCCGGGUCGCUACAGUGGAAAUGCGGCGUUUAACCACUGAACUAACGGAGACUGUAGGAAUAUCGAAGGCACCCAGGUUGCACUUCACUGCGAAUGGAAGACGGAAUGUCGAACGCGGUUUGAUCGAUCAGUGGAUCCCUGAACAGCUGAAAUCAGUUAGAAGUUCUCCUGCAAGGGGCGCUACAGGAUAUUCUUACGGAGACGCAGUACUCUAAUUCAAACCAAAUGGUAAUCUUGAAUGUCGGCGGAUUCCUGGAGACUUCACGCAGCCCGAUUCUACAUGGCAGCUGCAUAUUUUUAUUAGUAAUACUAAUGAUCAUAGUCAGUAAUUCUGUUGUAAUCUACGAAUAUACUGUAUGUACAUUUUGACCACCUCUUCCAUUUAGUGGGUCGCUUGCGAAUGGAAUUGUGAUUUCCUACCACCUUCAGUUUUGGACUGGCAAUCCAGUACGUGCAUGAAAUUUGCCAGAAGUUCCAGGCACUUUAGUUUUAUUUUCAGUAGAAUGUGUUGGAUACGAGUUAUUACAACAGUUCUGGUGAAACAACUUACACGCAUCUUACAUCUUACACGCGCAUCGUUUUUGCAAGAGGGAAUUCUCCAAAAACCAAGCAGGUUGAGAACAAAGAACGAAAGAUGGAGAAGACAAUAAAGGAAAUGAUAAUGAGAGAACAUCGGUGUCAUUUUGCCUGGCAUGCACCCAUGUAACAAAACUAGAUUUCCUUAAUUAUGUUUAUCUUUGCUGAUGUUAGCUGAGGGUUUCCCGUAGUAUGGUUGGUAUUCGCAAAUUUUCACAUGUUUACUGUCCUGUGUAAGACACGCUGUUUUUUAAUGGC